rnacentral:miRNA from 1 species
AGCUCAGCGCCAGCCUUUCUCUUAGCUGCACUCUGGUCUCCCCUCAGA